UACGAGGGGUGCAAGCGUUGCUCGGAAUUAUUGGGCGUAAAGGGUAGGUAGGUGGUCUUAUUUGUCAGGGGUGAAAUCCUUGGGCUUAACUCAAGAAGUGCCCCUGAAACGGUAAGACUAGAAUCUUGGAGAGGUGAGCGGAAUUCCUGGUGUAGCGGUGAAAUGCGCAGAUAUCAGGAGGAACACCGGUGGCGAAGGCGGUUCUCUGGGAAUGUCCUGACGCUGAGGAGCGAAAGUGUGGGGAGCGAACAGG
rnacentral:rRNA from 1 species